AGAGAAAUUCACCAAAUUUCAAGGAAUCAAGCCAUCAAAGGUGGUGAGCAUUCUGGCAAGAGUAAAGAGGUAAUAUCCGAGGAUCCAGAAUCAGAGUAUCCCAAAUUCGAUUCUCAUUACAUUGAAGAAAUGAGAUUACAGUUUGUAAGAAAUAAUCAAAAAACUUUAAGGACUGAAGUUUAUCAAGGAUUAAGAGAUGCUGUGUCGAGAGGUGAUUUAGAAGCUAAUGCAGUUGGAAAACGUAUAAUAUUACCUGCAACAUUUACUGGAAGUGCACAGUAUCUAUUCCAGAAUUAUCAAGAUGCAAUGGCAAUCUGUCGACAUUAUGGAUGUCCAGAUUUGUUUAUAACAUUUACUUGUAAUGCAAGAUGGUCAGAAAUCAAUGAAGCUUUAUCUAUCAUUCAUGGCCAACAAGUAUAAGAUAGACCUGAUAUAGUUUCAAGAGUAUUUAAAUUAAAACUUCAGUAUUUCAUGGACGACCUUAUC